GGUAGCAUGGUCUAAUGGUUAGCUCACUGCUUAACCGGUCAGUCCUAGGUAACUGUUCCGGGUUCGAUUCCCGGUACUACCA